GCCAGCCUGGCCAACAUGGUGAAACUCUAACUAUACUAAAAAGCCAAAAAAAAAAAAAAAAAAAAAUUAGCUGGACGUGGUGGUGGGCACCUGUAAUGCCACUUACUCGGAAAGCUAACACAUGAGAAUUACUUGAACCUAGGAAGCAGAAGUCACAGUGAGCUGAGAUUGUGGCAAUGCACUCCAGCCUGGGUGACCGAGGGAGGCUCCCUCUCAAAAACAACAAAGGAACCACUACACGGUUAGCUGAAUCCCAUUGCUGAAAACCUAGGAACGGCAAGGAACAGAUAAAUAGGCACCUGCCGCCAUCAGAUGCUACCACUCAAAACUGGAACCCCUUCAGACCCAUUUCCUCUUUCCAAAGAGGAAAGAAUCCUACUCUCCAAAGAGAGAAGAAUGAUCAUCAAAAAGAGUCAGCAGUGUCACUGAAGCAACACCAACAGCCAGUUUCACGCUCAGGAGAAAACAUUACACCUCUUCCUCGCAAGUUCCAUUGCCUUACACGUUCAGAAAAACUUCCCUAGUAAUAAACUACAGAAAUAAUCCCUGAAAGUAUAGUCUUGGUCUUUUGGUCACAGCCUCUGCUGGC